rnacentral:tRNA from 1 species
GGGCUGGGGCUCAGCGGUAGAGUGCUGGCCUAGCACGUGCGAGGCCCUGGGUGCGAAGCCCUGGGUUCG